rnacentral:lncRNA from 1 species
AUGAUCCGUGUUGCUUGGAGUAGUAGACAUUCUGCAUAUACAUCUGAACUGCUGCUGGCCACUUUCACAAGUGUUACUUUUGACAAAUGGCAAUUUAAAGCUGUAGUGCUGGGCAAAUUGCAUUAUAAGCUAAGCCCAGGUUGCGGAGUGAAUUUGAACUUGAUUGAUUUUUUUAAAUCUCUGGAUUUUCUCACCCACUACUCCAUGCAAAGUUUGCCCCAAUUACACAGCACACGAACGCACAUCAACACCUUGCCUUCUGCAAAGACCCCUCACCCCUGAACCCACUUUUAUCUACAAACCAUCAUCAGAGGAUGAACUGACCACCGCCCCAUCACCAUCCCCCGCAGCUGCUCCCAGCUCUUCACGUGAAUUCCCUUGACUCUCCCUCCAAUUCUUCCAUCUCCUGACAAGACUUAGAUCCCCCCAAGAAUCAGUUGGAUCCCCUGAUUGCCAGUCUUCACUCCCAGAGAACCCCAUAAAAGUAUCACUAGUUGUUGGUGCCUCGCAAAUAGCUUGUACUUCUCUUAUCUUAGUCCAAUCCAUUGUGUCUCCUUCUCCUUCACUCAUUGACCAUCAUCCCCAGAGAAUCCCUCAAACGCCUCUUCAUCUGUAGGUGCUGUAUGUCCCGAAUCCUCUUUCUCUGCUGCUCAUCAUCAGAUUCCUGCUCCCGAGUAACCCUUUUCCCCCUUCUGACACCCAUACUACUGUUUGUAACGUUACUCACAGGCUCUACUACAACAUGCUGGCUGUCUAGACAAUGCACAGAAACUUGUGGUAAGUAACCUACAUUUUCUACCCUUAACCCAACUUUGCUCUGCUUCAAACAAAGUCAGGGAAUACUCCUGAGUUGGCAGGAAACCCUGGUGUAUCAUAGGGUUUUGCAGCCAUCCGAACAGCUGGAUUGGGUCCAGUUCUCUAGAUGGCUCAAGUGCAGUGAAGAGGAUGGAUCAUCCUGUGUUGCUGCAACUGCUCCCUGUGGACCACAGAGCUUUCUGUGAGCACCUGGCUGUCGUGGUUGCAUAUGCUAGGGUCAGAAUACGACAUCCAUGCAAUCAUAGAAUCAUAGAAUCAUAAAAUAGUAGAGUUGGAAGAGACCUCAUGGGCCAUCCAGUCCAACCCCCUGCCAAGUAGCAGGAAAUCGCAUUCAAGAAGGAGUGGGUUGCUCUUCCCCCUUCUCGCUGUUUGUGCAGGCACUUCAUUAUGUCCUCAGCAGAUGUGACCAUGAUGGCCAGUCACUUGCAGG